GCUGCACACUAUUAAAGCUCAGAGUGGAGGCCGGUCUUGGCCAAUGAACUUGUGAGUGUCGGAAGUGUGCUAUAUUAAUGGCAGGAUUUUCGCUAACACCAGUAGAGCUUGCCUCUGUGACUGGAGUUUGAUAGUACUCGCUGCCACAUGG